rnacentral:rRNA from 1 species
UACGAAGGGGACUAGCGUUGUUCGGAAUUACUGGGCGUAAAGCGCACGUAGGCGGAUUUGUAAGUCAGGGGUGAAAUCCCGGGGCUCAACCUCGGAACUGCCUUUGAUACUGCAAAUCUCGAGUCCGAUAGAGGUGGGUGGAAUUCCUAGUGUAGAGGUGAAAUUCGUAGAUAUUAGGAAGAACACCGGUGGCGAAGGCGGCCCACCGGAUCGGUACUGACGCUGAGGUGCGAAAGCGUGGGGAGCAAACAGG